rnacentral:miRNA from 1 species
UUACCCGCCCAUGCGUGACUGCC